AUGAACGCUAGCUACAGGCUUAACACAUGCAAGUCGAGGGGCAGCAUGAACUUAGCUUGCUAAGUUUGAUGGCGACCGGCGCACGGGUGAGUAACACGUAUCCAACCUGCCGAUGACUCGGGGAUAGCCUUUCGAAAGAAAGAUUAAUACUCGAUGGCAUAGUUCUUCCGCAUGGUAGAGCUAUUAAAGAAUUUCGGUCAUCGAUGGGGAUGCGUUCCAUUAGGUUGUUGGCGGGGUAACGGCCCACCAAGCCUUCGAUGGAUAGGGGUUCUGAGAGGAAGGUCCCCCACAUUGGAACUGAGACACGGUCCAAACUCCUACGGGAGGCAGCAGUGAGGAAUAUUGGUCAAUGGACGAGAGUCUGAACCAGCCAAGUAGCGUGAAGGAUGACUGCCCUAUGGGUUGUAAACUUCUUUUAUACGGGAAUAAAGUGAGGCACGUGUGCCUUUUUGUAUGUACCGUAUGAAUAAGGAUCGGCUAACUCCGUGCCAGCAGCCGCGGUAAUACGGAGGAUCCGAGCGUUAUCCGGAUUUAUUGGGUUUAAAGGGAGCGUAGGCGGACGCUUAAGUCAGUUGUGAAAGUUUGCGGCUCAACCGUAAAAUUGCAGUUGAUACUGGGUGUCUUGAGUACAGUAGAGGCAGGCGGAAUUCGUGGUGUAGCGGUGAAAUGCUUAGAUAUCACGAAGAACUCCGAUUGCGAAGGCAGCCUGCUGGACUGUAACUGACGCUGAUGCUCGAAAGUGUGGGUAUCAAACAGGAUUAGAUACCCUGGUAGUCCACACAGUAAACGAUGAAUACUCGCUGUUUGCGAUAUACAGUAAGCGGCCAAGCGAAAGCGUUAAGUAUUCCACCUGGGGAGUACGCCGGCAACGGUGAAACUCAAAGGAAUUGACGGGGGCCCGCACAAGCGGAGGAACAUGUGGUUUAAUUCGAUGAUACGCGAGGAACCUUACCCGGGCUUGAAUUGCAACUGAAUGAUGUGGAGACAUGUCAGCCGCAAGGCAGUUGUGAAGGUGCUGCAUGGUUGUCGUCAGCUCGUGUCGUGAGAUGUUGGGUUAAGUCCCGCAACGAGCGCAACCCCUGUACUUAGUUGCCAGCAUGUAGAGAUGGGAACUCUAAGUAGACUGCCGCGAAUAACGCGGAGGAAGGUGGGGAUGACGUCAAAUCAUCAUGCCCCUUAUGACUUGGGCUACACACGUGCUACAAUGGCACAUACAAAGAGAAGCGACCUCGCGAGAGCAAGCGGACCUCAUAAAGUGCGUCGUAGUCCGGAUUGGAGUCUGCAACUCGACUCCAUGAAGUCGGAAUCGCUAGUAAUCGUGGAUCAGAAUGCCACGGUGAAUACGUUCCCGGGCCUUGUACACACCGCCCGUCACACCAUGGGAGCCGGUAACACCCGAAGUCAGUAGUCUAACCGCAAGGAGGACGCUGCCGAAGGUAGGAUUGGCGACUGGGGUG
rnacentral:rRNA from 1 species